ensembl:lncRNA
GGAUUAUCAGCUUAUUGAUCUGCAAUACCUGAGCCAGUACCCCCGCGAUAUCUGGGUCUAUGAUGCCCCACGCAGGCCUGUCCGGCCAGUGAUUCCGUGCUGGGGUGACACGCUGCAGAGUGACCGCAGCACCCCCGCCGAGCUGGACCCAGGGUUCCGGUUCGGCAAGGAGCCUGGCUGCCAUGAGCGGGAAAUGACCCCAGUGUUCCGGUUCGACCAGCUGCUGGACUUUGACGACGACUCCGUGGACAUGGGGGCAUCUGCCUUCUCCAGGUCUGACAGUGAUCUCAUACUGACCAGCCUGGACAUGGAUCAUAACUGUGUCGCCCAUGGCACCUGUGUUGAGAGAAACACCCCUGUCCUGGUCCACCAGCAGACUGGCAGUGGAGACAGCUCCUGGGGGGAGAGCGUGGCCCUGGGCGAGCAGGCAUGCUUGGGGAUUGCUGCGGGCUCCUCUGUCCGCCCGCCUGAGGCCCUGCUGGAGGCUGGCAGCCGGGCAGGGGCACGGAGUGAGCUGGAGCGUAGAAUGCGUGACAUGCACGACAUGCAUCUGGAGAUUCGGCAGGAUCUGGAUGCGGUGGAGCACACGCUGACCUUUGACCCACAGCAGCAGGAGAGCCUGCGCGAGGAGAAACAGCGGGUGGAGAAUCACCUCCAGCCGCAGAGGAAGCAAACGUGGUUUAGACGUCUCGGCAACGCCAUCAAAGGCCUAGGGAAGAGGAAGAGGAAGGAGGAGUUUGACGUGGGAGAGGGUGUCCCUGGGUGUGACGAGCUGUGCCCAAUCUCACAGGAUGUGAGCAUCUCGCAGGCCACUAUGCGGAAGAUGCACGAGGCGGAUGCCUGUGUCAGAAACUGGCGGGCGGUCGCACGUCACCAGCGGCAAAUGGACCUGCUCCAGGAAACGCUGGAGGACAUGGAGCGAAGCUUCCAGAAGCAGAAAGUGCAGCUGCAGAAUGCCGAAAGCGCACUGGACAGGCAACAGACCUGUGGAGGGGCAGAGGCCCUGAAGGAGGAGAAAAGGAGGAAAGAGGAGAUGCUGAAGAGCAAGAAACCAAAGAAGAUGGGCCUGAAGAGAAGGUUCUCCUUGUGCCUACGCUGCCUCACAUGAAUGUCAUCAAAAACUAUCGGAAUAUCGGAACUAUCAUCAAAAGCUGUCAGGAUCAAUGGCGUAACUAUAGGGGAUGCAGCAGGUGCGAUCGCACCUGGGCCCGUGAGUUGUGGGGGGCCGUGGCCGGGCCCAUAGACAUAUUUAUGUCUACAGUCUAUUGACGGCCCCAACAGUACUGCGUCUGACAGAAGUCUCAGACCC